AUUGAACGCUGGCGGCAGGCUUAACACAUGCAAGUCGAGCGAGCGGCGGACGGGAGGGUAAGGUCUGGGCAACUGACUGAUGGAUGGGGAUAACUACUGGAAACGGUAGCUAAUACCGCAUACUAUCGGAUAGACCCGUAUGGGAUUAGCUAGUGGGUGGGGUAAUGGCUCACCAAGGCCACGAUCCCUAGCUGGUCUGAGAGGAUGAUCAGCCACACUGGGACUGAGACACGGCCCAGACUCCUACGGGAGGCAGCAGUGGGGAAUAUUGGACAAUGGGCGCAAGCCUGAUACAGCCAUGCCGCGUGUAUGAAGAAGGCCUUAGGGUUGUAAAGCACUUUCAGUCGGGAGGCGUUACCGACAGAAGAAGCACCGGCUAACUCCGUGCCAGCAGCCGCGGUAAUUC
rnacentral:rRNA from 1 species